CCUCAGUUCCACAGGCUGCCACUGUUUGUUCAGGCUUCACAUGGUGUCAGUCUGCUGAGCUGCUGCAGCCAUCGAUGAAGCGGAGGGUGAACGUGGGUGCUGGUGCUGCGUCUGGAUCCCUGCUGGGUGCCGACCACCUCCCCGAGGACCCGUCGACUUCAAACUUUUUCCUCUCCUGUAGGAAGGUUGUGAAGCUCCAGCAGCAGAAAUGAUCAUCAGACUGGGAAGACUGACGCCAGGUUACUUCCGUCUCCUCCAGCGUCAGGUGUCUGGUGAGGUCUGCAUGCAGCCCCAGCGCAGCCUCAUUGACCCCAUCGCCCUGAUGAUGGCCUCAGUCGGGACGGGAGUGUGUCUGUACAGCUCCAGACAGAUGGCAGAGCGGGUCCAACUCAAACACCCCAACGCCUGAUGAUCGAUAACAAGUUGUGUUGGGGGAUGGUCUGAUUGUCUGUUUGUGAAAGUCGGAGAAGGUUUGUGAUGGAGGAGUUUGAAAGAAAGAACGUGUUUGUGUCGUCGCUAGAAGGAAAAUCUGAGUGAACAAAGAAGAAAGUGUGAGACAAAGUUCAA